GAGGACGACACAGGGAGCAGUCAAACAGAGUACCUUGUCGACUCGGUACACCGUCCACGCUUAUCACCUUCCCGGACCGGCUAUUGGAAGCGGCGUGGCCUGUGGCUGUGGUUCCUUCCAUCCUUUUCUCGUUCGUGUGCGCGCACACAAUUUGCGAGGGGGUCGAGUGCGAGUGCAGAAGAAAGGAAAGUAACCUCAGUGAUUCGCUUCCAAUUGCGUUCGAGGGAAAGGGGGAUGUAUCCUUCUGACAGGGACUCGACGCUUUCCACACAAUUAACAUACACUAAAGCACGAGAAACUUACGUCGAUUGGAAGAUGUGAGAGAACGUCACGUGUUAGACUGUUCCAUUCUUUGGCCUUGUAAAGUAGGGAGUCAUAUGUGCAUGUCUCUGCGGCUGGUGCUCAUCUUCAUCCCCUCGAGGUUCAUUGAACGAAGGCACAUGGAAUUGUCCAUGCACGCCACUUUCCAUGCAUGGAAACGGAAGGGGUAGUUGUACCCACUGCACUCGCCAAUGGCACCGGUUGUGAGAUAUUGGUGACGCUCCCACUUCUACUUGUGUGUGUAGAUUAACCUUAUCUUUGGAGACGAUGUGGAAGUUUCUUCUGAGGCAGUAGGUUUGGCCAAACUGGAUUAACCUUAUCUUUGGAGACGAGGUCGAAGUUUCUGAGGCAGUAGGUUUGGCCAAACUGGAUUGAACUCCAAGGUUGAUGCAGCAAAGGCUUGCUGUGACUUCCUGCCAAACAUCGAUCGAGUCCACAGAUUUGAAGGUGGAAACUGUGGACUUGAAUCGGUCUGAGCUGAUAACUCCACUGUCACGUUGUGCAGAAGAAGAAGGUUUUUAUCUCUCUAGACGCCGGCUGAUUCCAUCACAUGUACAGGCCAUCUGUCCGAUUCGAUUCAAGACUCCGUAGUCCCUUCAAUUAAUCUAGUCACAAAUGAAGUUGUCGAGAUGCAGUCACCUCUAUCACUUGCUCCUCAGGGAGGAAGCUUGCGUAAAACAAUGCAAGAAAGGGAUACAUGAGUGUGCAUCCAAGGGAAGAAUGAUGAUGGGUAGAUUCAUUGUUCUCCCUGUUGUAUCAAAAAAGAAAUCUUUCAAGGAGAUCGGCGUAAAGAACAUGUCAAGAGAAUCAUGAUGCGUAGAGGAAGCAAAGAAAGCCCGUUGCCUGAACCUUUUCUUUUCCCCUGCAUAGAAAUUGCAAUCGUGCAUGGAUGCUGACAACAAAGUCAUGGCCGCCAUUCAAGCGGCGCAGUCAGUCCACUGUGACAGGAGGAAGCUUCCAGGCAAAAGGUCAAGCUCACAUACGGCAAGCUUCGAGCCUCCUAUAAUUGACCGUAUGGGUUUCUCCUCUAAGCACGAGCAGGAGACAAGACCCUGCUAAGGCAGUUGAGCUCGGCCGACGAAUUUGAACUGCUGAUUCCUCCUGCUUUCUUCCAAGUCGUGUGGGAUUCCUGUGAUGAGAAACCGCAAUAGAAAGAACGGUUGAGAUUAGAGGAUAGGAUGAGCUUACAUGAUUGGACGGUUGUGAUCGAGAUAAGAUUGACAGAAUGAUGAUGGAUAGGAGAGAAUUACCAAUUUCCACAUCUUACCAACAAUUGAAGCCUUUGUUUGCCCUCUUCCGGCACUCUCUCGUUAUCAGCGCUCCCCAACUCAGCAAGAAAGGAGAACAGAAGAAGAGCGGAUUGAAGAGAAAGAGAUCGAUCGGUUAGAUGGAGGGUCUGAUACCGUUGUUGAUGCGCGCGAUCAAGCGGAGCCGGGACCGGAGCUCCUACCGCCGCCUCGCCGUCGAGAGGUCGCCGCUGCUCGCGGCCGAGGAGUGGAAGCCGCGGGAUCGCGAUCGCGCCCCGUCCGAGUUCCCUCCGCUGCCGCCGCCGCCGCCGCUGCCCUCCGCGCGCUUCGGAUCCGGCUCCCGACCCUCCGGCCGGCACAUGGCGCCGUCGCGGAGCCUCCGAGGCGACGCCCUGAUAGAUUCGUUGAAUCGUCGAUGAGAGUCGGAAUCGGCAAGAUUUGCGUCGAAGAGAUGUUACUUCAACUGUACAAUUACGCGUUCCGUGUUGGAAAAUGGGUAGACAUUUCCCAUUAAACCAAUGUAAUGUUCCCAUCGAUCUGUACGUCUUCAAUGAUUGUGUUCUUUGCUGUAUCAGUAACAGAAACUUUUAUCUACAUUUUUUAUAUU